UACGAAGGGGGCUAGCGUUGUUCGGAAUUACUGGGCGUAAAGCGUGCGCAGGCGGCUUCUCAAGUCAGGGGUGAAAGCCCAGAGCUCAACUCUGGAAUUGCCUUUUAGACUGCAUCGCUUGAAUCAUGGAGAGGUCAGUGGAAUUCCGAGUGUAGAGGUGAAAUUCGUAGAUAUUCGGAAGAACACCAGUGGCGAAGGCGGCUGACUGGACAUGUAUUGACGCUGAGGUGCGAAAGCGUGGGGAGCAAACAGG
rnacentral:rRNA from 1 species